rnacentral:misc_RNA from 1 species
AAGUCGUAACAAGGUUUCCGUAGGUGAACCUGCGGAAGGAUCAUUACUGAAGUCGCUGGAAGGUUUGUUGCUGGUUCUCCGGAGCAUGUGCACGCCUUUCACACUUUAUUCAACCACCUGUGCACCUCCUGUAGUCUCUCAGACGAAUUUUCAGUCUUCGGAUUGGUUGGGAUUGCUGCUUCUCGCAAGAGAGGCUUCAGUUCAAUGUCUGAGAGGGCUAUGUUUACACACAUACACUUUAAAAUUACCAGAAUGAAUCACGGUCUUUACAGACCUUAAAACAAAAUACAACUUUCAACAACGGAUCUCUUGGCUCUC